AGUUUGUUUGACCCUUUUUUUUAACCUCUCUUUGACCUUAUCUAUAUUUUAUCUGCCAGUAUAGACUGUAGCUUCCUAUCUCGCAAAGACUGAGGAUUAUUACAUUUUUUUGUUUUCAGUCAAACUUUCCGACCGCCAAAAAAACUAUCAGUGUUCUCUACUUCUAUCGCACAUAGAUCUACCAUUAUAGUAUAUAUUUGUUCCUGAGAAAAUUCGUCAAAUCUUUAUAUAAGUUAUGUGACAAUUCGUUAUUGAUAAAGGUGUUACUUAUAUGUUUGAAUUUCCCCUUGUUUUCAGUUUCGUCGUCAUUUUUCCGGGUAGAUAUUUUGCACACUCGGUGCCGCCAUAUUUAAUUACCUAAUUAUAUAUGCGUGUCAAAGGUCAUAGGGGGAAAAAACAACGUAAUAAUGGACGCAGUCUUUUGACAAAUCAACGAUGUAUUGCUUUUUUCCCCAAAGUUUAUAAUGAUUUAUCCCUUAUAUUAUGAUACAAUUUGUUUACAUAAUAGGUAAAGAGGACCAAAAGUUUACUUUAGCAUAUCUUUUAUGGAAAAGUUCCUUUCUAUAAUUUCUAAGAGAAACUAUUUAUUGGCACUAAUGUUGCAUUUCAUACCCAUGUUUGAAGAUUCCAUUUCAUAAUAAAACAACAAUUUUUACACUUAAAAAAAUCUUAAUUCUGAAUUGCACAAAAAUGUAAAAUUUCGAUAAUACCCACCUACCGACUACUGGACCCAUUGUAUUGUGAUGUUUUUAGGGGGAGGGGGUAUUUAAUUAUGCAAAAGUGACUUGAUUCGCCACCGUGAAUAAGAUUGGUUUAAUAAUAUGAUCAAAAACAUUUAUUCAUGUUCUUAUUUUAGGGCAUCAUCAUGUUAUUCGCUCCGUGGAGCGAAUUAGCAUGUAUUCUACGUACUUAAUUAUAGCAUUUAUUCCGUAAAUGUGAAUACAUGAUUUUUGCUUUUAUAAACGGAAUAAAUAGCAUGAUCAUUCUAUAAUUAGAGGUCGCGUCAUCAAGCUAACACUUGAUGUGGGUAGCACGUGACCUGUGUGUACACAAUGUAGCAUGAUUAUAAAAAGUCGAUAGUUAUGUAACGUAUUUACGUUAACUUCUGGGAUCGUACCUGGUCAAUUCCAGGGUUUGGGGUAUUCAACAAUAACUAAUUUAAACUAAUUGGUAUGAUUUUAGUGGACUGACAAAAUAUACAAAUAUGUCCUAACCUUAUCUAGGUAAAUUAUAAUCAAACAGAGAAUCACUAUAUCAAUCAGAGGCAAGCAACGAUAAACUGGUAGUGCUAACUAACAAAAUGUAGAUCUAGAGCCCAGUCGCCCUCGGAUUACCCCAUAUACUGUAGGACGCCUUAUUCAGGACGGACAGUAUAUGUGGUAGCCCUUCAACCACUACACUCACUGUAGGAUGCCUUAUUCAGGACGGACAAUGAGUAUAGCGGCCUGGACGACGGUCUUUUCAGCCAAUGCGGACGACACCAAAAACGAAUUAUGGCUAGCCUCAUUACUGGAGGUCAACCUCUUCGUGGCAGGCCAGACUUCUGAUGGCCUUCCAAAUUCACUCUCUAACUGUAAGAACAGGCGAGGAAUUGUUUACUAUGAAUACUUUAUUAGUACACAUAAUCUCGUCCUCUCAACUUGGCUGGGUCUUCUAUCAGAAUGACCCAGACGACUGCGGAGUCUCGGUAUUUAUACACAAAUGAGAUCACGUGAUGGAAAGUGACUAAUUGAGAACUCCGCAUGGUCGUACCUCAAAUAUCCGGAAUCAUUACAGUUAACCGUUUAAACCAAACAUCUCAAACUAAUUCGCGGAGCGAAUAACAUGAUUAUGCAUAUUUCAGGAUUCAGACUCAAAAAAUGCUUUGAUAGCUAUUUUGUACAGUUCUUGUUUGGCCCUAGAAAAUGUUCCACUUGAGAUACAAUCAACACAAUGCCCUAGCCUCCUCGUUCUUUGAACAUCGGAAAGCCUCGGGUACCAGGCUACACAAUAUUCACAAACUAAACAGUGUCCAGGUUUGAAGCUUAUUUCAAACUCGGCACAUGGUAAUAAACAGAGAUUUGACAUGAAACAUUCAUAAAAACUAAAAAAAAAAAAAAUAAAUAAAUAAAAGAAACAAAAAUAUAGAUGGAAAACGUAAUAAGGAGGAAAAAAUGUGUUCGUGAGGGAGUCAAACCCGGUCGUCUUAAAAAUAGAAAACAUCUUUACAUGACCACUGAACCACGCAGUAGACUAUACAGUGCUAUGGAAUAUUAACGUACGGGUGAAGUUGAAAAUAAUACCAGUGAAGUCGUUUCGAUUUUUUUAAAUUUACAAAAAAUGCCCGCGUGAAACAAAAUUUCAAAGCGACAGUUUUUUAGAGGAAAACUCUAAGAACGUGUUCAUGCUAAAAUUUUGUUUCACGGAGGCAGUUUUUCUGAAAUUUGGAGAUACCCCUCCAUUUUAACGCUAAAAAUCAUAUAAAUCGCUUAUUGUUUGAUUUAAACUCGAAAUAUUUUGGCUAAUUUUGUCAAUACAUGUCUUAAAAACUUAUUUUCAAAAAUUAUUGUAUCAAGACAUACGUUCCAAUUGGUUUUAUCAUAUAUUUGAAUAACUUAAUUUUUUCGAUCUUUCAUGCAACACCUUUAGGGAAAUUAAAACAUGAGACGCGCAACACCUUCUUUAUCUUAUAUAAAUGAGAACGCUUAGGCAGAAUAUUCUUUAUUCUAAGUUUUCUUGUAUCCAUUUAACUGCCUCCGUCAGAUACCCGGUAUCCGACGGGAGUUCCUGCGUACUGUGGUAGAUUCUCUGGCUAUGUACCGAUCAUCGUCCCACGCCCCGUGAUGACUACAUGAAUAUAUUCCAAAACUGCUUAGAAAGUUUUAUUCAUUUUGAAUUAAUUUUUCUGGAAGGUACACCAGAGUUGUCUGUGUGACUCGUCCAUAACGCAUGGCCUACAAAAUAGUCAGGACAUUCGGAUUUUCUGACAGUUCCUUCGAUAACAUGGUCCAGACGAAGAAUUUGUUCUUCCUCUGGAUCCCAAUUCCAACCAUUAUAUGCAAGAAAGAGCCUUAUAGCGGCUAACUUCUCGAUCGCCUGAUAAAAUAGAUAAGGUAUACACAAAGAGUAGUAACUAAAUGUCCAUCGAUUUCUAGCAUCCAAUCUGAAGAUUAAUUUCUCCUGAUUGACAAGGGUUCACAGGCCAGGUAAAUUUGAAGGCGGUGCUUAUUUUCUCGGUCUUUAAUAGGAAAACGAAAAACUUGCACUUGUUUGCACAAUGAACUUGGAAAAAAAAACUUUGGAAUCGCAAUAAAUAAGGUUUUAUCAAAAUGUUGUUUUUUUAAUUGAAUUCAUUUUCAUUUUUACUAUAUAUUUUUUUUUUUUCAAAAAUAUAUAUAGUGAAGAAAUGAAAUGAUGAGUCCCUUAUAAAUAUAGUAUCCGUACGACAAUAUUCGAAAGAUGUUUCAUUUAAUAAAAGAAAUAAAAUCAAUUCCAACUAGGUAAUGGAUGACAUUAAUGUUUAUGUGCAUGCGCAAACCCAUUGAAUACAUUGUCGCAUUAAUGGUAGAUGUAGAGAGGGGUGGAUUGCAUCCCCCUUUUUGAGUUAAACUUUUUAUAAUUAAAAUACAUCCCUCCACUUGUUUUAUAGGAUACCCAGUUAAUCAUCACUUUGCACUUUGUUUAGAGUCAAACAGGAUGAUGUGUCAGGGUUGAUGGAAAACUGAUCCUCGUUAAUUAAUUAAAGUGUCGCUCACUGAUCCUCGUGGCUCCGGCUUGCCACAAAUCUCCGUGUCUCUUUUCAGUUUCAGUGUCUAAAUUCUUCGAAAUUUAGGGUCUUUUGGGAAAAGAAACAUACUUAAUCCCUGUCCCGGUUCAAAGCAGCGCAUUGUACCAUAAAUGCAGGAAUUUUCUAUGUAACACUAUAAAAGCCUAUCAUUGCAAUCGAAAGUUGUCUCAGAUGACGUCGUAAGCUUCAAGCGAUAAUUCACGUCACAACACAUCGAUCGCUCACGUAAAAGUUUGAUAGCGCCGUGUAAUUCACGCCGAGUGAUUUUUAUCAAAAUUGCCAUGGAAAUUAAUCCAUAAGUGUACUACAGACAUUUUUCUGUAUAAAACUCAAGUUUUAGGAAAAUCAACGUACUUGACCUUUAAUAUAUUGACGUGUUGCCGUUUGAGCGAGCACAGCUUCAUUGUAUGUACAUAUUUUGUAAUGUUCAUGCUUUGAUCAGGUUGAAUUUAAACAAAUCUAUUUGCCAAACACUCAUUACAUGAAGUUUCUCCCAGGGUUUUAUAUUAAAAAUCAUUAAAACAUGUAUACCUGAAUAUGAUUGAAAUAUUUUUAUGCUAUAUAUACAUUUUAUUUCUGCUGCCUUCACUGUGACCCGCAUAACCUUUGAUGCACGACCUGUUCUGAACUGUAUGCUCCCAGCCUUUACUUUCCCCUUUUCUACUCUCAAUCUUUUCAAGUUACUAAUUGCAUGAUAAAAAUGCCCAAACCUUUCAAGUUGGUAAAACUAUGUUUAAACAACACUGCCUUUGAACACAAUAUGCAUUUCAAUAUAAGGAAAAUUUAAAAAUAAAUUGAUUUAUUCAACUAUUGGGCAUGUUUAUGUGCGGCUACCCCCCCCCCCCCCCCAUUCGAACUUAUCUAAUUCAAAUAAAAAAACCGAAAUUCAUAUGAUAAUUCCCUUGUGUGUUCCAAAAGAGAAAAUCAUAACAAUUGUUAUAAUAUUGCACAUAAUCCUAGUUGUAACACAAUGAUGAAAUAUUUCAGCAUUCACAUAUAAUCAUUGAAUAAAAUAGCAACAUCUUUGAUUUUUAAGCCCCUCUCCAGUAUUGUUGUGAGGAUACAUUAAUUAAGAUCAAUUCACAAAACUAGAAUUAAUUAAUGAUUUUUCAGUCGUUAGUAGCAACUGGCAUGGUUGGUUAUCGUGAGGGAGUGGUUGGGGGGGGGGGGGGGGGGGUGUCAUCGUGGUUUGCAUUACCGGACAUGUUAAAAGGAAAUAGAUUUUUAAAAACACUUAUUAUUCUUAGUCGCGUGAAAAAACCUAAAGAUUUUUAAAAAAUGUUUACAAUCCGACCGAAUUCCAUCGAUUUUUUGUAAUUUUUUUAAUAGCACUAAUUCAGUACCUGUGAUCCCUCACAUAUAAUUAUAAUCUAACAAUUUUUAAAAAGUUAGUCCCCCCCCCCUUUUUUUUUCCUUGUUAGAAUAAUAAAUUCCUAUUGAGAAUUUAGUAUUUUAAUCAGAUUUGUAGUUUGCAGUCGAUUAUACACAAUUUGUAUUCGAUGCCAUAUUACGUAUGCUAAUAAUUACGUAUAUUUAAGAAAUAAGGUAUCAUUUAAAAAUAUUUAUCGGGAUAUAAAUACGGGUUGGUCACGUGAUCAAAUUCCAUAAAGCCCGAAGGGCUUUAUGGAAAAUUUGAUCAUGUACCAACCCGUAUUUAUAUCCCGAUAAAUAUUUUAAAAUGAUACCUUAUUACUUAUAUUUACAUUUUUGGUCGGUAACAUUGCUGAAUUGUGUUAACAACACGUUUCCAUACAUUUCAAAUUGUUGACGUCCACAACGAAGCGUCAUAGAUGUUCAAAAUGACGACAACACAAAACAAAGUUCUAUAAAAUGAAGAACUGUUUUAAUUAUUAAGACGCUAGAAAGCAAGUAUAUCAACAUAUACUUAUACAUUAACUCGGGAGUAUAUAAUGGAAAACUCUUCCAUAUGUCUAAUUUUAGGGGGUGGGGGAAUUAUGAUUUAAACGGGGAUGCGCAGUGUUACACUUAGAGUUGUGAUGCGCUUUGACUUUUGAAAAGUGAAGACGUUGAAGACCGACUUUGAAAGAUAUUCUGUGGAUAUUACGGAGUUAACAGAAGACUGAGAUGGAGGAACAUGAAGAACAGGGCGGCAGUCGUCAGGUGUAGGCAAAUCAUUUAUAGACAGGACAGAGGACGCAGCUCAGAUGAAAGAACUGAACAUCGCAGAGAAUGUGGAACUGCACGAAGGUUUUUAACGACGCCUCGCUUCGAUGUCCCGACAUAAACUUGGAAACCGACAUCAAGCACUAUGGCUGCUGUGGCACGGAAGCAGUGUGGUGUGUAGGUCUUAAUGCACUUUGACGACUUAUCGGCCAUACAUCCUGUGAAUGACCUUUUUGCUAAAGCCUAAUGUCAUCGUCUAGCAGUAGGUACAAUUCCGCAUCACCGAUGACCAGGGUGAAGUUGUAGCAGACGAAAUUUUAGACAUACAUUAGGCCUAGUAGGCUAGUAACUAAAGACAUUGUUUACAGAAAUGCUUUUAUCAAUUAUUGAUGAAAGUCCACUGCUUGGAAUACAAAUAAAACCGUAAAUACAUUU